CAGAAGUCGAUGUCGGGGUCU
rnacentral:miRNA from 1 species